rnacentral:rRNA from 1 species
UACGUAGGGUGCGAGCGUUAAUCGGAAUUACUGGGCGUAAAGCGUGCGCAGGCGGUCUGUUAAGACCGAUGUGAAAGCCCCGAGCUCAACUUGGGAAUGGCAUUGGAAACUGGCGGGCUGGAGUGUGGCAGAGGGGGGUGGAAUUCCACGUGUAGCAGUGAAAUGCGUAGAGAUGUGGAGGAACACCGAUGGCGAAGGCAGCCCCCUGGGCCAACACUGACGCUCAGGCACGAAAGCGUGGGGAGCAAACAGG